UUUAAAUAGCUUAUAUAGAGCAUAAUAUUGAAGAUAUUAAGGAAUUUUUAAAAUUUUAAAUAU
rnacentral:tRNA from 1 species